AUGCUGGCGCGCUAGUGUGCGCGCUCUCUCAAUUUUGCGAUGUUGCGGUGGAAGUGCGCUAGCGCGUACAAAAAUGAGAAAGUCAGGCGGUCCCAAGAAGGUGGCUGAAUGUGCUCUGAAUCCACUCCAGAUGAGGACUCUCCAGCUGCUGUAGCUCCGCUGAUGAGGUAAAUGAGGAGGGAAGUUUGAAAGGUCCAUCGAGAUCAUCCUAUUGUGGGAAAGAUGUGUGAAGAUCUUCAGAAAUCAAGUUUUCUGUUCCUGCCCUUUUUUAAUGUUAAAAGUGAUCGGUGCUCCGUUAACAGUUUACAUUUUUUUUUAAAUGUAUUGUACGUUGUUACAAAUAUAUAAAAUCUACAAUUAUAAACUUAGCCCACUUCCUUUAGUGGAAAUUCCUAGAACAGGGUUGUUUUGUGUUCCUGGAGAGCCACUUUCCUAAAAUGUAAAAGUUUGUCAGAUUGCUGCUUUGUCAUUAUGGGAAUGGCAUGUAGAUUGACAUGAAAAUAUCAGGGAUUUUAGCAUAAGGCUGCAACAAAAUGUGAAAAAUGAAGAGGAUCUGAAUGCACUAUUUAGGAGGUGUCCGUUCCUGCUUCAGCAGUUUAGCUCUAGCCCCAGAUAAACAUGCCUGAAGCCAGGUGAUCUGCAUCACUAGUCUUUCAGGCGUGCUGGCGCUAAACUGCAGGAAAGCGGUCCUCCAGGAUCAAGAUUGGACGUCCUGCUCUAGCAUUAUUUGAGCAUGAGGCUGCUAUACGAAGACGAUGAAUGAUAUUUCUGAAAUGGUACAAUGUUUGAUUUGUCUCAUUUGGUUCUGUUAUUUUCAAACACUGGACAA